rnacentral:rRNA from 1 species
UACGGGGGGGGCAAGCGUUGUUCGGAAUUACUGGGCGUAAAGGGUUCGUAGGUGGCCAACUAAGUCAUACGUGAAAUCCCUCAGCUUAACUGGGGAACUGCGUCUGAUACUGGUUGGCUUGAGUGCAGGAGAGGAACGCGGAAUUCCAGGUGUAGCGGUGAAAUGCGUAGAUAUCUGGAGAAAUACCGGUGGCGAAGGCGGCAUCCUGGACCGACAUUGACGCUGAACGGCGAAAGCUAGGGGAGCAAACGGG